UUCAUGCUACAGUAUAUACUUCCACAAUCAAGUGUAAAAGCGAAAUUUAGUGUCAAGAAGCAUAUAUUUGCAAUGUUUAAUUGACAAGCGAGUGCCUUUACAAGUGUUUUAGCUCGUGUGCAGUUGAUAUCAUGGAACUAGCCAUGGACUAUGCUAGCACAGUAUUGAUUAAAACAUCCCUGCUAAGUUUUGUUAAAACAUCUUUGGAACAAUCGAGUAUAUAAAGGCAUCUUAAUGAGGUUUAUACUCAAGUCUCGUCAUGGAAUCUUGACACGCAACCAUUAUCUGAUCACACAUCAAGGUUGCAAGGCUAAACUUUGUAACGAGAGUCUGGUGUAUAAAGCAUCAUGGUUGAUGUAUUAUCUUGCUCCUUUUGCAUGUCAUCAUUGGCUGUAGUAAUAAGCCUACUAUGUCAUCAGCACUGAAGCCACUA